AUUGAACGCUGGCGGCAGGCCUAACACAUGCAAGUCGAGCGGAUGAAGGGAGCUUGCUCCUGGAUUCAGCGGAGGACGGGUGAGUAAUGCCUAGGAAUCUGCCUGGUAGUGGGGGAUAACGUCCGGAAACGGGCGCUAAUACCGCAUACGUCCUGAGGGAGAAAGUGGGGGAUCUUCGGACCUCACGCUAUCAGAUGAGCCUAGGUCGGAUUAGCUAGUUGGUGGGGUAAAGGCCUACCAAGGCGACGAUCCGUAACUGGUCUGAGAGGAUGAUCAGUCACAGUGGAACUGAGACACGGUCCAGACUCCUACGGGAGGCAGCAGUGGGGAAUAUUGGACAAUGGGCGAAAGCCUGAUCCAGCCAUGCCGCGUGUGUGAAGAAGGUCUUCGGAUUGUAAAGCACUUUAAGUUGGGAGGAAGGGCAGUAAGUUAAUACCUUGCUGUUUUGACGUUACCAACAGAAUAAGCACCGGCUAACUUCGUG
rnacentral:rRNA from 1 species